GAGUGGCGGACGGGUGAGUAACGCGUGGGUAACCUGCCUCAUACAGGGGGAUAACAGUUAGAAACGACUGCUAAUACCGCAUAAGCCCACGGGUCGGCAUCGACCAGAGGGAAAAGGAGCAAUCCGCUUUGAGAUGGCCUCGCGUCCGAUUAGCUAGUUGGUGAGGUAACGGCCCACCAAGGCGACGAUCGGUAGCCGGACUGAGAGGUUGAACGGCCACAUUGGGACUGAGACACGGCCCAGACUCCUACGGGAGGCAGCAGUGGGGAAUAUUGCACAAUGGGGGAAACCCUGAUGCAGCGACGCCGCGUGGAGGAAGAAGGUCUUCGGAUUGUAAACUCCUGUUGUUGGGGAAGAUAAUGACGGUACCCAACAAGGAAGUGACGGCUAACUACGUGCCAGCAGCCGCGGUAAAACGUAGGUCACAAGCGUUGUCCGGAAUUACUGGGUGUAAAGGGAGCGCAGGCGGGAAGACAAGUUGGAAGUGAAAUCUAUGGGCUCAACCCAUAAACUGCUUUCAAAACUGUUUUUCUUGAGUAGUGCAGAGGUAGGCGGAAUUCCCGGUGUAGCGGUGGAAUGCGUAGAUAUCGGGAGGAACACCAGUGGCGAAGGCGGCCUACUGGGCACCAACUGACGCUGAGGCUCGAAAGUGUGGGUAGCAAACAGGAUUAGAUACCCUGGUAGUCCACACCGUAAACGAUGAUUACUAGGUGUUGGAGGAUUGACCCCUUCAGUGCCGCAGUUAACACAAUAAGUAAUCCACCUGGGGAGUACGACCGCAAGGUUGAAACUCAAAGGAAUUGACGGGGGCCCGCACAAGCAGUGGAGUAUGUGGUUUAAUUCGACGCAACGCGAAGAACCUUACCAAGUCUUGACAUCCCUUGACAGGCAUAGAAAUAUGUUUUCUCUUCGGAGCAAGGAGACAGGUGGUGCAUGGUUGUCGUCAGCUCGUGUCGUGAGAUGUUGGGUUAAGUCCCGCAACGAGCGCAACCCUUAUGGUCAGUUACUACGCAAGAGGACUCUGGCCAGACUGCCGUUGACAAAACGGAGGAAGGUGGGGAUGACGUCAAAUCAUCAUGCCCUUUAUGACUUGGGCUACACACGUACUACAAUGGCGUUAAACAAAGAGAAGCGAGACCGCGAGGUGGAGCAAAACUCAGAAACAACGUCCCAGUUCGGACUGCAGGCUGCAACUCGCCUGCACGAAGUCGGAAUUGCUAGUAAUCGUGGAUCAGCAUGCCACGGUGAAUACGUUCCCGGGCCUUGUACACACCGCCCGUCA
rnacentral:rRNA from 1 species